rnacentral:misc_RNA from 1 species
GUUCAAAGCUAAUCCCACUAGCGAUGUACUUUUUAUCUGAGCUCACAUUACAGCUAGAGAACCAGUUGAAAAUAACAUGGCCUUCUCUUCUAGUCCUUGAAGCCUGAUCUACACUCAUCUUAACCAGACUACUACUGUUUAAGUAUCGGUUACAUCAUGGGAAGUCCUUGUGGAGGAGCAAAUGCUGGUGCACUAGGCAUUUUUUUGUCCACCACAAUCGCUUGAGUAGUGAGAACCAUUCCUGCAACUGAGGCUGCAUUCUGCAAGGCACAUCUUGUUACCAUGGCUGGAUCGAUGACACCAGCUUCUACUAAAUCCUCAUACUUGUCGGUCAUUGCAUUGUAACCCAUCUUCCAUUUGCUGCCCUUUAUCUUCUCCACUACUACUUCCCCUUCAACCCCAGCAUUCUGAGCAAUCAAAGAUGCCGGAGCUACUAAUGCCUUCUGCACAAUGUCAGCGCCCAACUUCUCAUCAGGAUCUUCAAGAUUGUCCUUAAUGGCAGGGACAUAAUUUGAUAGAUGAACCAACGCAGCACCACCACCAGGUACAAUUCCCUCUUCAAUUGCAGCGAAAGUUGCAUUUUUGGCAUCCUCAAUUCUAAGCUUGCGGUCCUCAAGCUCAGCUUCUGUUGCAGCACCAACCUUUAUAACAGCAACACCUCCAGACAACUUUGCAAUUCUCUCAGAAAGUUUCUCGGAGUCCGACACUGAUUCUGACAUGUCCAACUCCUUUUUAAUCUGAGAAAUCCUAGCCUGUAUCUCGUCCUUCGACACAUCAUCAGCAAGGAUGGUUGUUGAGUCCUUGGUGAUAGUCACCUUUCUAGCAAAACCUAGUGCUUCGACCGGGGUACUCUCAACAGGCAUACACAAAUCAGCUGCCUGGUACUCGGCUCCUGUUACAAUGGCAAUAUCUUGAAGAAGAGCCUUCCUCCUUUGACCAAAACCAGGUGCUCUGAUGGCAGCAACAUUUAGUAUACCUCGCAGCUUGUUCACAAUAAGAGUAGCUAAAGCUUCUCCAGUUACUUCUCCAGCAAUAAUGAGUAGAGGGGCUCGUAAUUGAGUUGCCUUCUCCAAGAGGGGCAUAAUAUCCUUGAUUGCUGAAAUAUCGUGAUCUGUAACCAACACUCGAGCAUUCUCAAAUUCAACAACUAGUUUCUCCUGAUUGGUGAUGAAUUGUGGGGAAAUAUAUCCCUUAUCAAUCUCCAUCCCCUCUUCAACACGAACAGUGGUUUCAAAGGAAGAGGAUGACUCAAUCGAUAGAACACCAUCAGGUCCAACUUUGUCAAUUGCAUCAGCAAUCAUGGUUCCAAUCUCAUCAUCAUUUCCAGCAGAGAUAGAAGCAAUAGCUUUGAUGUCAUCACGACCUU